UACGUAGGGUGCGAGCGUUAAUCGGAAUUACUGGGCGUAAAGCGUGCGCAGGCGGUUUUGUAAGCCAGAUGUGAAAUCCCCGGGCUCAACCUGGGAAUGGCAUUUGGGACUGCAAGGCUGGAGUUUGGCAGAGGAGACUGGAAUUCCUGGUGUAGCAGUGAAAUGCGUAGAUAUCAGGAGGAAUACCAAUGGCGAAGGCAGGUCUCUGGGCUAUAACUGACGCUCAUGCACGAAAGCGUGGGGAGCAAACAGG
rnacentral:rRNA from 1 species